AAGGGUGGACACUAAGACCCGGUGGGAGCCCCUAACCACUUGGCACCCUAGGCGGCUAGUUCGCCUAGUGGUUGCACCAGUCCUGCAUACCACUAAGCCACUGAUGCCUAUUGAACUUAUCCAUAGAGCAGCCCCAUGGACUCUCUCUCUCCUCUCCUCUCAUUGUGCCGUCUCCCUUCAUAGGACAAGGGGAGGUGUGGUAGGUGUGCGUCCCCACAGGCUAGGUCUCGGGAGUCAUGAAGAAGUAGGAGGGGACGAAAAUCAUGCAGGGCAGUGGGUGCGAGAAUGGAGCGGUGACUGUCGGUGUUAACUCGGUCUCUGUUCAUUGAGGGGGGCAGAUGUAGAUAUGAUGGAAAAGGGAGGCAGGGAUGAGGGCAAGAGCUCUGUGUAAUGACGGCUCAUGCUUGGCUUUUGCAGCUGCUCUUACAGAGGAAUUGUUGUUCAGGAGCCCUAGGCAGAGGAGAAGCUGGCAGAAGUGGAUCUGAGCAGCUUGGACAUCCUUCUAAGCAGAUAUGAACAGUCCUCAGCUUUCUGCCUCCCUCAUAACUACACUUCACAACUUUUAGCGGCACGGCUGAAGCCUAAGAUAAAUGCAUGGUAGUAGCUGAGUACACACGGCUGCUUCUCUUUAGUAGGAAGGAGAAAGAAGUCAAGGGUAAGAGCCCACCCCCGGUGUGAGAUGGAAGGCACGCAAGAGCCAUGAGACAGUGAGCAUUGUUGAUGCCAGGCUAUGGCGAUGCCAUCUAGCUGGAAACGGAGCAGCCGUCACUGUCAGUGAGCUAAGUGUCUGGUUUGGUGAGGAGUCUGGUCACGGCCCACAUGGCUCCAGGCAGGGAUGCGCCGUUAGCUUGGUCUGUGUUUGUAAGAAAAGGUUCCCGUCUAGCUGUGGCUACGAGGGAGACAAGGUCCCCCGUUAUCAGGGGCUGCUCAUUUUGUCUGGCCAGGAGCGGUGUGUUCAUCGCAGCGAAAGGUUGCAUCUAGGAGGAUGACUCUAGCUGAGGAACAGUCGAGCAGCAGCCGAAGGAAAAGCUGGCAGAGGUGGACCUGAGCAGCCUGGACAUCCUUGUAAGCAGAGAUUAACAGUCCUCCGCUUUCUGCCUUCCGCAUAACUGACUAGGGAGAAUUUCCCUAUAUUGGGAGCAGCUGAUCUUCCUGGACAGGGAGGAGCAUGUUCACCUGAGCAGAGGCCUGGAACCGGAAAGAGGAAUCGCCCAGGAGCCCCAGCCAGAGGAGAAACUGGAAGAAGUGAACCUGAGCAGCCUGGACAUCCUUGUAAGCAGAGAUGAACAGUCCUCUGCUUUCUGUCUUCUGCAUGACUGGCUCUGCGCUUGCAGAGGAAUUGGCCAGGAGCCCCAGCCACCGGAGAAGCUGGCACAAGUGGACCUGAGCAACCUGGAUAUCCUUCUAAGCAGAUAUGAACAGUCCUCAGGUUUCCGCCUCCCAGAUAAUUGGCUCUGAG